UCAUCUUCGGGGGUAGAGCACUGUUUCGGCUAGGGGGUCAUCCCGACUUACCAACCCGAUGCAAACUACGAAUACCGAAGAAUGUUAUCACGGGAGACACACGGCGGGUGCUAACGUCCGUCGUGAAGAGGGAAACAACCCAGACCGCCAGCUAAGGUCCCAAAGUCAUGGUUAAGUGGGAAACGAUGUGGGAAGGCACAGACAGCCAGGAUGUUGGCUUAGAAGCAGCCAUCAUUUAAAGAAAGCGUAAUAGCUCACUGGUCGAGUCGGCCUGCGCGGAAGAUGUAACGGGGCUAAACCAUGCACCGAAGCUGCGGCAGCGACACUAUGUGUUGUUGGGUAGGGGAGCGUUCUGUAAGCCUGCGAAGGUGACCUGUGAGGGUUGCUGGAGGUAUCAGAAGUGCGAAUGCUGACAUAAGUAACGAUAAAGCGGGUGAAAAGCCCGCUCGCCGGAAGACCAAGGGUUCCUGUCCAACGUUAAUCGGGGCAGGGUGAGUCGAC
rnacentral:rRNA from 1 species